rnacentral:rRNA from 1 species
UUGAAAGGGAAACGAUUGAAGUCAGUCGUACCGACGAGAAAUCAGCUUUUCGAAUGUGCAUUUGUGGGCGUAUGAGAUCUUCAUUGUUUGCAAUAUGUAUGUUUCUUUGGUGUACUUUUUCGUAUGGUAGGUCAACGUCGGUUUUGGUCGCCAUAAAAUGAUCGGAGGAAUGUAGCUUCGACCUCGGUUGAAGUGUUAUAGCCUUUGGUAAAUGUGGUGAUUAAGACCGAGGAUUGCAACGAAUACCUUUUAGGCUAUCCGUCUGACCUCUGAAAGUUACUUAGGUGCCGAAAGCUUGCUUACGGUCAUUUAAGUUGACGGUCAAUAGGUUAGAACGUGAUUACAUUCGUUAAGGAUGUUGACGUA